rnacentral:rRNA from 1 species
UACGUAGGGUGCGAGCGUUAAUCGGAAUUACUGGGCGUAAAGCGCACGUAGGUGGCGACGUAAGUCGGGUGUGAAAGCCCCGGGCUCAACCUGGGAAUUGCAUUCGAGACUGCAUUGCUGGAGUACGGAAGAGGAAGGCGGAAUUCCCGGUGUAGCGGUGAAAUGCGUAGAUAUCGGGAGGAACAUCAGUGGCGAAGGCGGCCUUCUGGUCCAGUACUGACACUCAAGUGCGAAAGCGUGGAGAGCAAACAGG